CAAUUGGGAAAGGCAUCAGGAGGCAUGGGGAGACUGAGAAAGCACUUUGGAAGUGAUCCCCACUCUUUAUUCUUUAGCCUGUGGAAGUAAUGGGGACUUAGACCUCCAUUAGAGAUUUAAUAGCAGGAUGAGACAAAAGGAUACUCAGCAGGCCUGAAAGGUCCUUCCUCUCCUGAGUAGUCCCCAUCAAGUCAAUGGGUAAAUGUCUGCGGAAGAGGACCACACUGAAGUUCUGUUGGCCUGAACUGAGUGGACCGGUCGCAACUGAAGGUCAGAAUCAUUUUCCUGCCAACUCUAACCAUGCCCCAUUUAGGUAUUGGAAGACCACUGUACGGUCACCCCUGCGGCUUCUCUUCUC